UACGGAGGGUGCAAGCGUUAAUCGGAAUUACUGGGCGUAAAGCGUGCGCAGGCGGUUUGCUAAGUCUGCUGUGAAAUCCCCGAGCUCAACUUGGGAAUUGCAGUGGAUACUGGCAUGCUGGAGUAUGGUAGAGGAAGGUGGAAUUCCACGUGUAGCAGUGAAAUGCGUAGAGAUGUGGAGGAACACCGAUGGCGAAGGCAGCCCCCUGGGUUAACACUGACGCUCAGGCACGAAAGCGUGGGGAGCAAACAGG
rnacentral:rRNA from 1 species